rnacentral:tRNA from 1 species
GUGGCUGUGGCUCAGAGGUAGAGCGCUUGCCUAGCACGUACGAGGCCCUGGGUUCAGUCCUCAGCACCACA